GAACCCUUGGCACAGUGGUAGCGCGUGAGAUUCCAGUUGGCUGGAGCAAUCCGCCUGAGGGAAAUCCUCAAGGUCGUCCGUUCGAUCCGGUCAGGGUUCA